GACGAACGCUGGCGGCGUGCUUAACACAUGCAAGUCGAACGGUGAAGCGCCUUCCUUUUUGGUGGGUGUGGAUGAGUGGCGAACGGGUGAGUAACACGUGAGUAACCUGCCCCCUUCUUCUGGAUAACCGCAUGAAAGUGUGGCUAAUACGGGAUAUUCUGGGUCUGUCGCAUGAUGGGUCUGGGAAAGAUAUUGUUUCGGUGGGGGAUGGGCUCGCGGCCUAUCAGCUUGUUGGGGGGGUGAUGGCCUACCAAGGCGGUGACGGGUAGCCGGCCUGAGAGGGUGGACGGUCACACGGGGACUGAGGCACGGCCCAGACUGCUACGGGGGGCAGCAGUGGGGAAGAGUGCACAAUGGGGGCAAGUCUGAUGCAGCGACGCCGCGUGAGGGAUGGAGGCCUUCGGGUUGUGAACCUCUUUCGCCAGUGAAGCAGGCCUGCCUCGUUUGUGGGUGGGUUGACGGUAGCUGGAUAAGAAGCGCCGGCUAACUACGUG
rnacentral:rRNA from 1 species